UUGCUCCUGGUCCUUGGUCUCAAGAUAUCCUCUGCCCCUUGCCGUCUGCUUGUGACCAGCCUCCAGUCUCCUCAACUCUAGGCUGGGGAGAGUCUUCCAUCCUGAUGGGGGGUGGGGUACGGGGGUGAGCCCUGGGUCCCCCUCUGGGCAGAUCCCGUUACACCUCUUGUUGGGGUCCUUGAUUGGGCUACGCUCUGGAACUGUGGAUGCAGCUGCAUGAGGCCGGAAUGGGCCUUGAGGAGCCCGGGGGGGCCCCUGGCCCCAGUGUCCCCCUUCCCCCAUCACAGGGUGUGGGGCUGGCCUCGCUCGUGGCACCUCUGCUGAUCUCGCAGGCCAUGGGACUGGCCCUCUAUGUCCUGCCAGUGCUGGGCCAACACGUUGCCACCCAGCACUUCCCAGUGGCAGAGGCUGAGGCUGUGGUGCUGACACUGCUGGCGAUUUAUGCAGCUGGCCUGGCCCUGCCCCACAAUACCCACCGGGUGGUAAGCACACAGGCCCCAGACAGGGGCUGGAUGGCACUGAAGCUGGUAGCCCUGAUCUACCUAGCACUGCAGCUGGGCUGCAUCGCCCUCACCAACUUCUCCUUGGGCUUCCUGCUGGCCACCAGCAUGGUGCCCGCCGCUGCGCUUGCCAAGCCUCAUGGGCCCCGGUAUGUAUGGAUCAGCCCCACUUCUCCUAAUGCCUGUGCCCUCAUCACAGACCACACCCUCAUUCAAUAGCCCUUUCCCCCACCAUGGAGCCUACCUUGAUGUUGCUUCUCCACCCAGGACCCUCUAUGCUGCCCUGCUGGUGCUGACCAGCCCAGCAGCCAUGCUCCUUGGCAGCCUGUUCCUGUGGCGGGAGCUGCAGGAGGCGCCACUGUCACUGGCCGAGGGCUGGCAGCUCUUCCUGGCAGCGCUGGCCCAGGGUGUGCUGGAGCACCACACCUACGGUGCCCUGCUCUUCCCACUGCUGUCCCUGGGCCUCUACCCCUGCUGGCUGCUUUUCUGGAAUGUGCUCUUCUGGAAGUGAGAUCUGCCUGUCCGGGCUGGGACAGAGACUCCCCAAGGACCCCAUUCUGCCUCCUUCUG
rnacentral:sRNA from 1 species